CCUACGGGUGGCAGCAGUGAGGAAUAUUUGUCAAUGGACGAGAGUCUGAACCAGCCAAGUAGCGUGAAGGAUUACUGCCCUAUGGGUUGUAAACUUCUUUUAUAUGGGAAUAAAAUGUUCCACGUGUGGGAUUUUGUAUGUACCAUAUGAAUAAGGAUCGGCUAACUCCGUUCCAGCAGCCGCGGUAAUAAGGAUGAUCCGAGCGUUAUCCGGAUUUAUUGGGUUGAAAGGGAGCGUAUGUGGUUUGUUAAGUCAGUUGUGAAAGUUUGCGGCUCAACCGUAAAAUUGCAGUUGAAACUGGCAGUCUUGAGUACAGUAGAGGUGGGCGGAAUUCGCGGUGUAGCGGUGAAAUGCUUAGAUAUCACGAAGAACUCCGAUUGCGAAGGCAGUUCACUGGACUGCAACUGACACUGAGGCUCGAAAGUGAGGGUAUCAAAAAGGAUUAGAUACCCCUGUAGUC
rnacentral:rRNA from 1 species